rnacentral:rRNA from 1 species
AGAGUUUGAUCCUGGCUCAGGAUGAACGCUGGCGGCGUGCCUAAUACAUGCAAGUCGAGCGAACAGACGAGGAGCUUGCUCCUCUGACGUUAGCGGCGGACGGGUGAGUAACACGUGGAUAACCUACCUAUAAGACUGGGAUAACUUCGGGAAACCGGAGCUAAUACCGGAUAAUAUAUUGAACCGCAUGGUUCAAUAGUGAAAGACGGUUUUGCUGUCACUUAUAGAUGGAUCCGCGCCGCAUUAGCUAGUUGGUAAGGUAACGGCUUACCAAGGCAACGAUGCGUAGCCGACCUGAGAGGGUGAUCGGCCACACUGGAACUGAGACACGGUCCAGACUCCUACGGGAGGCAGCAGUAGGGAAUCUUCCGCAAUGGGCGAAAGCCUGACGGAGCAACGCCGCGUGAGUGAUGAAGGUCUUCGGAUCGUAAAACUCUGUUAUUAGGGAAGAACAAAUGUGUAAGUAACUAUGCACGUCUUGACGGUACCUAAUCAGAAAGCCACGGCUAACUACGUGCCAGCAGCCGCGGUAAUACGUAGGUGGCAAGCGUUGUCCGGAUUUAUUGGGCGUAAAGCGAGCGCAGGCGGUUUCUUAAGUCUGAUGUGAAAGCCCACGGCUCAACCGUGGAGGGUCAUUGGAAACUGGAAAACUUGAGUGCAGAAGAGGAAAGUGGAAUUCCAUGUGUAGCGGUGAAAUGCGCAGAGAUAUGGAGGAACACCAGUGGCGAAGGCGACUUUCUGGUCUGUAACUGACGCUGAUGUGCGAAAGCGUGGGGAUCAAACAGGAUUAGAUACCCUGGUAGUCCACGCCGUAAACGAUGAGUGCUAAGUGUUAGGGGGUUUCCGCCCCUUAGUGCUGCAGCUAACGCAUUAAGCACUCCGCCUGGGGAGUACGACCGCAAGGUUGAAACUCAAAGGAAUUGACGGGGGCCCGCACAAGCGGUGGAGCAUGUGGUUUAAUUCGAAGCAACGCGAAGAACCUUACCAGGUCUUGACAUCCUUUGACCACUCUAGAGAUAGAGCUUUCCCUUCGGGGACAAAGUGACAGGUGGUGCAUGGUUGUCGUCAGCUCGUGUCGUGAGAUGUUGGGUUAAGUC